rnacentral:tRNA from 3 species
GCCCAGGUAGCUCAGUCGGUAGAGCAGGGGAUUGAAAAUCCCCGUGUCGGUGGUUCGAUUCCGCCCCUGGGCAC